rnacentral:rRNA from 1 species
ACUCCUACGGGAGGCAGCAGUGGGGAAUUUUGGACAAUGGGCGAAAGCCUGAUCCAGCAAUGCCGCGUGCAGGAUGAAGGCCUUCGGGUUGUAAACCGCUUUUGUACGGAACGAAAAAGCUCCUUCUAAUACAGGGGGCCCAUGACGGUACCGUAAGAAUAAGCACCGGCUAACUACGUGCCAGCAGCCGCGGUAAUACGUAGGGUGCGAGCGUUAAUCGGAAUUACUGGGCGUAAAGCGUGCGCAGGCGGUUAUGUAAGACAGAUGUGAAAUCCCCGGGCUCAACCUGGGAACUGCAUUUGUGACUGCAUGGCUAGAGUACGGUAGAGGGGGAUGGAAUUCCGCGUGUAGCAGUGAAAUGCGUAGAUAUGCGGAGGAACACCGAUGGCGAAGGCAAUCCCCUGGACCUGUACUGUCGCUCAUGCACGAAAGCGUGGGGAGCAAACAGGAUUAGAUACCCUGGUAGUCCACGCCCUAAACGAUGUCAACUGGUUGUUGGGAGUUAGUUUUCUCAGUAACGAAGCUAACGCGUGAAGUUGACCGCCUGGGGAGUACGGCCGCAAGGUUGAAACUUAAAGGAAUUGACGG